CACAACAAUUUAAAUAUACUAUGUCACGAGCUGUACACUUAAAAAUAGUGGAAAUGGUAAAUUAUGUUAUGUGUAUUUUAUUAUAUUGAUAUUCUAUUCUUUUGUGUAUUUUCUUCCCGUUUAACUUGAGAAUCAGCUUGUCGAAUUCUACGAAAAUACCUUUGCUAUUUUGAUUGAAAGCACGUUCACUGACAUCUUUACAACACUGAGUCUUUCCACCCAGGAACGUGGCGUGUCUCUCCAUUUCUGCAGGCCUCCUUUUAUGUCCUUCAGCCAACAGAGCGGCUUUGAAGCCAGGAGGCCCGACUCUGAACCCUGGCCCUGCCACUCACUGGCUGUGAGGCCUGGGGCCAGUCACGUCGUAGCUUCUCGGAAACCCUGCGUUCUCACCGGUAAAAUAAGGGUUGAACAGUCUUUCAUGUCUACGUACUACUUCUAGUUCCUCAUCUGAAUUGCCUGCUCAUGAACUUUGUCUGGAUGUCUCUUAGCAACUCAGGCGAGGAAAAGGAGCCUGUGAGCGAUCACGUGACAGCCCAGGGCCACCAGGAUUGGAAUCCGAGUCUGGUUGACUCCAAAGACCUUGAUGCUACCCUGGCCAAAUGGGAGGAUGUGUAAUAAAAACAGCCUCAGGCCAAAGGACAGGGAUCUGAAGUCCAGGAAUGGAGAAGAUAAGGUCGGUCUCAAAGAUAAUCGAGAGGCAGAUUUUGUUGUUGUUUUGUUUCGCCCUUUAAAUAAGUUUAUUCACACACAUGGAGGAUAGAGUUACAUUCCUAAGGUUACAAAGCUUUUCUGGAGCCAGGACUGGGCAGACUCCACUGGGGGAAAGGGCACAUUUCUACAGGGCAGUGGCCGCGGGAGGGAGGGAAGGGCAAGGUCUAAAGUUCAGUGUGUCCAGCAGCUCCGAGGUUCCCCAAGAGGCCCCGCCAGGGCUUGGGGUUCAGAGGCCCAGGAGCAGGUGGCGCGGGGGAAUGAAGGAGGGGGUCCGUCUGAGUCUCAGCUGCGUCGACACCUGACAUCGGUGGGGUCCAAAGCCUCCAAGGAGGUAGGAAAUGUGACUCCGCCCCCCAACAAUAAUGUCAAAAUGUCACAGAGACACAGGAGCCAAGGAGAGAGCGCCCUAUUGCCACAGCUGGAGGAGUUUGAGCAACAAAGUAAGUGAAGUGGCAUUGUGUUCUAACCCAAAGUAUAAAAUGAAUACCCAUGAGUCCAUACUGAUAAAAUAAAUGAUCAGGAAGAGUCAAAUCUCCCACAAAAUAUCCCAAAUAACUGAUGCAGAUAUUCUGCCCUCAGGGAGGUGGGACAUGCUCCCCAUUGCUUACGUGGGGGCUGCUCAGGGUGACUUCCUUCCUAAGAGGACAGUGGGGCAAACCGAAGAGGAGGGGCAGAGGACCCUUCUCAGUGGGCAUUUCUGACAAGCGCCACCUCAGCCAGUCAUCAGGUCACCAUCAGCCCGAUAAGCCAGGUUGGUAUGACGUGUCCAGCGGCAGCCUUGCUCAGGGCGCCAGCAGCCCCUGGCAGCCUUGGAAAAGGUCCGUUUUUCAUAAACACAAGCAUAUCCACAGCCCCCACUUACUCUUGGCUGUGUCCAUGACCUUGUGGGGUGGGGACCAGAGCCCCGGAGCACCUGCUGUUGCCUCAGCUCCUAAGAGCUCAGAGGCACAGGAAGCGCCAGGACUGAGAGGGAAGCCACAGUCAGCGGCAUCUGGGAGGCUCUGCCCAGGCGCCACAGUGCCCAGUGAAUUGACGGGGCCCAGCUGUGACCGAGUUGGCAGUGUCCAGAGGCAGUGAAGAGCAGCAGUGGUGUCCAGGGCAGGUCCCAGCAGCUGGGUCAGAGGGACACGGGCACCCGGAGGCGCCAGCAGGCCGAGGUGGCCCUGAGGUUAGCAGUGUGCAGCCUUAGGCAGAGACCGGGACUCGGAGUUGCUUACAGCGUGUUCCGAAACCUCCUGCCUCAGGCCCAGAGGGCCUGUUUCUGUUUUUCCAGUUCAUGAGGUCAACGAUCUUGAGCAUGUCCUUCAGCAAAUCAGAGAACUCCCACCAGAGUCAGGUCCACGCUUGUCUCAGUGACCUCUGGCCGAGCAGCCUGCUGCCGCCUGGCAGUGCAGGGGGUGCUUCUGGGAAGGCAGGGUUCCCAGUGACUUUCUCCCCCCGGGUGGCCCCUGGCUGCUCAGUGUGGUCCAGAUCAGCCCCCUCUUUCCCUUGACUCCAAAGCUAGGAUGAAGAAUGUGCUCAAAAGCAUCCACGGAAAAUGAACGUUUGUCCUCUUUCCGCCAUCCGCGGGGGAAGCCCAUUUACAGAAACCAGUCCAUCUCAGGGAGGCAAGACUGAGAGCGUCCCCCUUGUCAAAUGCAUGGCGGCUCCAGUGCUACGUCCAUGCUUAACAUCGUCUAUGACACUUUGUCCAUCUCAUUAAAUAUUCUUUGACAGCAUUACCUCUUUCCACCUUAAAACUCUUUUGAAAAAAUAUUUUUAUUGAUUUCAGAGAGGAAGGGUAAGUGAGAGAGAUAGAAACAUCAAUGAUGAGAGAGAAUCACUGAUUGGCUGCCUCCUGCACACCCCCCACUGGGGAUUGAGUCCGAAACCCAGGCAUGUGCCCUUGACUGGAAUUGAACCCAGGAUCCUUCAGUGCUCUAUCCACUGAACCAAACUGGCUAGGGCAGUGGUCGGCAAACCGCGGCUCGUGAGCCACAUGCGGUCCUUUGCCCCUUGAGUGUGGCUCUUCCACAAAAUACCACGUGUGGGCGCGCACGUACAGUGCGAUUGAAACUUCGUGGCCCAUGCGCAGAAGUCGGUUUUCGGCCUGGGCAAGUUUAUUUUGAAGAAGUGGCGUUAGAAGAAGCGGGGGGUGUCGGUCGGUCUGGCGCCCGCGGGAUACACAGCACGGGGGAGGUGUGCGUGAUUCAUGCACGAGCUGAGUGAGCUGGUCAGUCAGCAGUGUCAUUGUGCAGUGGUUAAUGCUAGUCGCGUCCGCAAAUCACUCGCGGGUGACAAAAGUACCUACUCGAAGCAUAAAGUUACCUGUAUUUUUCCAACCAGCUGCAAAUCCUACAGGUAUUUUUGUCAUCAAUUUAAGAAUUGUAAUUAUUUUGUGUUGGUAGCUUUAUUAUUAUAAAAUGAGGACGUUUUUCAGCAAAGGCCAGCUUAGGAGUACCCUAAUUAAGUUAAUAACAGUGUACCUACCUAUAUAGUUUAAGUUUAUAAAAAAUUUGGCUCUCAAAAGAAAUUUCAAUCGUUGUACUGUUGAUAUCUGGCUCUGUUGACUCAUGAGUUUGCCGACCACUGGGCUAGGGCCAUCUUAAAACUCUUAAAGCAGUAACUGCCGUGGAGAAGUCUGGACGAUACUGUCUUACCAUGUGAUGAAGGUUCCUCUCACCUGUGGUGUUGUGUGGCUGCCACACGCCCCUGAUCUGAUGUGGGGAGAAGGCACGUCCCUGUGGCAUUCUCGCCCCAAACCCUGAAGACCAGUUUAAUCAGGAGAAAAACAUCAGAGUAACCCAAAGUGAGGAACACUCCACAACCUGCCCGAGUGUUACUCCUCAGGACUGACAAGGUCAUGAAAAGCAAGGACAGCCCCAGCAACUACCACAGGCCAGAGGAGACGGGGAGGCAUGGCAGCCGAAUUCAACGAGUAGCCAGGGCGCCACACGACAGGUAAACGCAAACUGUCUCAGGUCCCGCUCUGGGCCCUGAAACUGGAAAAAAGACACCAGUGAGAAAACUGGUGAAAUCCAAGUACAGUGCGUAGUUAUAGUGACGCACCAUGGAAUGUAAGACGCUCACGACGGAAGGAAAUGGCUGAGGGCAUAUGGAACCCCGUGUAUUAUAUUCGGAGCUUUUCUGGGAGCCUAAACUUAUUUCAAGAGAAGCCAUUUAUUAGAAGAAUUCACGCCCCACAAAAAACCUAAGUCUUUCCUUGGCUUCCGUGAUAUUGUGUCGUAUAUCCUUCGUGUGUGUGUGUGUGUGUGUGUGUGUGUGUGUGUGUGUGUGUGUUCUCACUCACCAAAUGACAACUACCAUGUUAGGUACUGUGAAUAAGGAGGCCAACAAAGCAAACCCAGUCUGGUUCCUGCCCUCAUGGGAAUAUAGUUUAGAGCAGCGGUCACCAACCUUUUGGACCUCACAGCCCAGCAGUGGUCCGCGGACCACCGGUUGGUGAAUGCUGGUUUAGAGCAGGAACUUUGAAUUGAGUUGGACUUGAGGUUGAACCAGCUCUGCUCCUCCCUAGAGACUGCAUGAUCCCAGGUAAGUCCCUUCAUCCACUGAAACCUGUUUUUCUUCUCUGUAAAAAGUGAAUAAGGACGUCUACUUUAUAAUAUCGUUGUGAAGAUUCAGUGCGAUAAUAUACAAGAGUCCCAACCCAUAGUAAAUGCUCAAUAAACACUCACCAAAGGAACCACUGACACCUGGAUCGUGUCUGCAGCCUCCCAUGCAGUUUCUCUAGUUUCACUUCUAUGGAAGGCGUUUAAAGCAAGAAGCAACCAAGAACAACAACAACAAAGGUAAAUCCUGGUGAUAAGUAGGCAGAGGCUGUAUAAAAGAGGCGCUGUCAUGCAUAAAUGGAGGAAUCGGCAAGCAAUUUCGUGAGAGGCAUUGGGCCAAAGCCUGGUUAAAACCCUACUUUGAUUAUUUUUUUAUGACAAUGAAGCAUUUUAGAAUAUCAGGAGAUAGAGAGACUGGCUGGCUUCCUAAAUCAAUUCUUCCACUUACUACCCUUGGCAAGUUACUUAUCUCUCUGUGCUAACUUCCUCAUCUGUCAAGUAGGGACGAUAAUAGUCCUUACCUCAUAGACUAGCUGUAAGGAUUAAUAUAGGUAAUCAAAAUAGGUAAAUAUAGGAUUGAGAUAGGUAAAGCAUUUAGACCAGUCCCUGGCUCAGAGUAGCUCUGUAUGUGUUAUCUGUCACUGCCCGUUUACCCCCAGUGCCACGUGGGGCUAAUAGCACCUUCCCCAAUGGUGGGAGAUUUCCAUUAUCCGAAUGGACCAGAAUAACAGUUCACUUGGUCUUAGGGGACCUGGUCAAGUCUCUGCCACAACGACCAGAAUAACAGUGGGAACUGUAACCCGGCCUGCCAUUCAUUUGACAUUGUUUCCAUAAAUGCUGACUCUGACUAGAUAAACAGCAUGCUUGUAUCGGAAUCCCAGGAACUCGCUUCCGAAGAUACAGGCUCUGACCUUCAGUCACUCCAGUUCUGGGAGAUGCUGCCAGUGGAAGGAAAUGGCUGAGGGGGAAACAGCUGACCUUCAGACCUUCAGCGACCUUCAGAUGACGUGGAGGCAGGAUGACAAAGACCAGGGUGAUGCACAUCAGACCAUCACUUGACCAGUUUCCAGGUCCUUAUCGGCACGGACUUCGCUGGCCUGCACCUAGAGGAUUUCUCAAAACCCCCUCCCCCAUUCAGCAGCAAGACCCUUUCCAUAUGAAACUAACCUCAUAGAUAUAAGAUUUAAAACUAACGGGGGGGGGGGGAGGUAAUAGGGGAGGGACACAUAAUAGAAAUAGAACGACAGUUGUUUAAUAGCUGCUCACUAUGAAGGGGAGAUUUUCUUACAGACCCUGGGAACUGAAGGACGUGUCACACGCAGGAGAACAGGCCUGGAGAUAAGGCAGCCCGGAGCCCAGAUGAAGGACAGAACAUCUCUGAAGGGAGACAGCAUUCCAGGGCUAAUCUUCGCAAGGACGACGGAAGAAGGCAGGCCCUGGGAACUCACUAACUUCAGAUUCCCCCACCCACUAGCCCUGUACAAGAGCUUGAACUGAAACGUCAGAGCACUCUUCCUCAAGGUGCUACCCCGCUGCUCUCUCAGGUCGCCUGCUAUCUGAUUAAUCAACGCUCAUAAACGAUUCCACCUUGUCUCUGCUUAUUGGCUUAGUGGCGAAGGCAGUAACGGACCCGUCCGUGCCCAGUAUCACCAGGACGUUUCAUAGUGGGAGGUCUUUUCACUUAAAAAAGUUACUUCUUGCCCUGACUGGUUUGGCUCAGUGGAUAGAGCGUUGGCCUGUGGACUCAGGGGUCCCGGGUUUGAUUCCGGUCAAGGGCAUGUACCGCGGUUGCGGGCACGCCCCUAGUGGGGGAUGUGCAGGAGGCAGCUGAUCCAUGUUUCUCUCUCAUGGAUGUUUCUGACUCUCUAUCCCUCUCCCUUCCUCGCUGUAAAAAAAUCAAUAAAAAAAAAUAUAUAUAUUUUUAAAAAGUUACUUCUUGAGAGCGUUGGUUGGAUGUCACCAGUGACAUCAAUCUCAACUCUUACCUCAUUUGGGACCCUGACAGCCAGAUCAUGAUAGCUUUCAAUACGGGUUACACAGCAGCUUCCUUUGUGCGCGCGCGCGUGUGUGUGUGUGUGUGUGUGUAGUAAACCUUAUUUUUAAGAAAAGAUUUAGAUUUAUAGAAAAAAAAAUUGAAGACUAGUACAGAGAGUUCCCAAAUACCUGGCAUUCAGUUUCCUGUUAUUAACAUUAUCUUGCCUUUUAAAUUCAACACGAUGUCUUUGAGAUGCACCCAUGUUGGUGUGUGGCUCUAACGUAUUCAUUCUCACUUCAGCGUAGUAUUCCAUGAACCUGGAAGCUUUUCGUGGUGUCCCACGGCCCAGGCUUUCGUGCCCGGAUCCCAUCUUCCUCUUCGUGAGGUCCGUCCAAACUGAGUUCUGCAGUGAGAAUACUCACAUGGUAGUCAUGUUAUACAAUGUCGUCUGGUUUUCAAUGUUGAGAAUCAAUCUAGAGGCAAAGUACGGCAAACGGAACCACCUUUUACAGAAUAGAAUGUACAUACUCCAAACCUUCACAAAGUAAAAGUAAAAAUUGAGUUGAUGGAGGAAGGCAGAAGUGGGGAGGGGAAAUUAUUCAUUUCACACAGAGGAAAAUCAAAAGAUACAAUCUAAGGAAGAAACAGUUAAGAUUAUUAUUCAAAAUUAUAAUUGUAACCAAUAGAAGAACUACAAAUAUGAAUAUAAAAAAUUUGGGAGGAGAAAGGGGAAAAGGAUGGUUAAUGAAAUCCCACAGCAGGGAAUCAGUCGAUACUGCUACCACCAACACAUCCAGCACCAGAGUGUGAGGACAGUAUUCACAGUUAUGGAAGUGACAUAAACAAACAACUAAAAUGACAACCUAAUAAAAUAAAAUAAAAAAGAAAGAAAGGAAAAAAAGCAAGGCUGCUCCCGAGUUGGGAAGGGAGAGGACAUGUUAAAGUUUUGAUGUCUAACUUUUAUAGUUGGCUUCCAUGGGCAUUUUUAUCUCUGCGAAUUAUCUUUUUUAUAUUCGCCAUAAUAGUUAAAAUGGCAACUAAUUAGGCAAAGCUGUAGAUCUGAUUCCGACAUUUCCCUAGGGCUUCGGGCUCGUUCAGUCACUCGCCCUCACCCCGGG